GUAAUGUCUGGGAAACUGCCUGAUGGAGGGGGAUAACUACUGGAAACGGUGGCUAAUACCGCAUAACGUCGCAAGACCAAAGAGGGGGACCUUCGGGCCUCUUGCCAUCAGAUGUGCCCAGAUGGGAUUAGCUAGUUGGUGAGGUAACGGCUCACCAAGGCGACGAUCCCUAGCUGGUCUGAGAGGAUGACCAGCCACACUGGAACUGAGACACGGUCCAGACUCCUACGGGAGGCAGCAGUGGGGAAUAUUGCACAAUGGGCGCAAGCCUGAUGCAGCCAUGCCGCGUGUAUGAAGAAGGCCUUCGGGUUGUAAAGUACUUUCAGCGGGGAGGAAGGUGUUGUGGUUAAUAACCGCAGCAAUUGACGUUACCCGCAGAAGAAGCACCGGCUAACUCCGUGCCAGCAGCCGCGGUAAUACGGAGGGUGCAAGCGUUAAUCGGAAUUACUGGGCGUAAAGCGCACGCAGGCGGUCUGUCAAGUCGGAUGUGAAAUCCCCGGGCUCAACCUGGGAACUGCAUUCGAAACUGGCAGGCUUGAGUCUUGUAGAGGGGGGUAGAAUUCCAGGUGUAGCGGUGAAAUGCGUAGAGAUCUGGAGGAAUACCGGUGGCGAAGGCG
rnacentral:rRNA from 2 species